UACGAAGGGUGCAAGCGUUAAUCGGAAUUACUGGGCGUAAAGGGUGCGUAGGCGGUUGUUUAAGUCUGUCGUGAAAUCCCCGGGCUCAACCUGGGAAUGGCGAUGGAUACUGGGCAGCUAGAGUGUGUCAGAGGAUGGUGGAAUUCCCGGUGUAGCGGUGAAAUUCGUAGAGAUCGGGAGGAACAUCAGUGGCGAAGGCGGCCAUCUGGGACAACACUGACGCUGAAGCACGAAAGCGUGGGGAGCAAACAGG
rnacentral:rRNA from 1 species